rnacentral:rRNA from 1 species
AUAAACGCUGGCGGCGUGCAUGAGACAUGCAAGUCGAACGAAGGAUCGGGCUUGCUCGAUCCUUAGUGGCGGCCGGCUGAGUAACGCGUAGGUGACCUACCCCGAAGUGGGGAAUAACUGCCCGAAAGGGUGGCUAAUACCGCAUGUGGUCGCACGUUCAUUCGUGCGAGUAACGCCGCAAGGCGCUUCGGGAGGGGCCUGCGUCCGAUUAGCUCGUUGGCGGGGUAAUGGCUUACCAAGGCGACGAUCGGUAGGUGGUCUGAGAGGACGAUCACCCAGACUGGGACUGAGACACGGCCCAGACUCCUACGGGAGGCAGCAGUCGGGAAUGUUGCUCAAUGGGGGAAACCCUGAAGCAGCAACGCCGCGUGAGGGAUGAAGGCCUUCGGGUUGUAAACCUCUUUUGUCAGGGACGAUGAUGACGGUACCUGGAGAAUAAGCCACGGCUAACUACGUG